CAGUUCAGAUUGUAGGCUGAAACUCGCCUAUAUGAAGUCGGAAUUGCUAGUAAUCGCGGAUCAGCAUGCCGCGGUGAAUACGUUCCCGGGCCUUGUACACACCGCCCGUCACACCAUGAGAGUCGAUAACACCCGAAGCCUGUAGUCUAACCUUAGGGGGGACGCAGUCGAAGGUGGGAUUGAUAAUUAGGGUGAAGUCGUAACAAGGUAUC
rnacentral:rRNA from 1 species